rnacentral:rRNA from 1 species
GAUGAACGCUGGCGGCGUGCCUAAUACAUGCAAGUCGAGCGAACGGACGAGAAGCUUGCUUCUCUGAUGUUAGCGGCGGAAGGGUGAGUAACACGUGGAUAACCUACUUAUAAGACUGGGAUAACUUCGGGAAACCGGAGCUCAUACCCGAUAAUAUUUUGAACCGCAUGGUUCAAAAGUGAAAGACGGUCUUGCUGUCACUUAUAGAUGGAUCCGCGCUGCAUUAGCUAGUUGGUAAGGUAACGGCUUACCAAGGCAACGAUGCAUAGCCGACCUGAGAGAGUGAUCGACAGAACGGGAGCUAAGUGGGACUCCCGAUUCCAACGCGAGGCCGCAGUAGGGAAGCGGCAGAAGUGGGCGAAAGCGUGACGAAGCAACACAGCGUGGGGUGAGAGAGGGCUCGGCUCGUAAACUUGUGUUAUUAGCGAAGAAAGUAUGUGUAAGUAAGUGGGCGAAGCUUGACGGUACCAUACCAAAACGCCGUGCCUAACUACGUG